AAUAAUAAAAAUGUAUAAUCUGCUCAUGAAUAAUUUAAAUUGCUGUGGUAUUUUGACUAUACGAAGGUAUUGAAAUAAGAUUUUAAAUGAGUGCUAAGAGAAUGGUUGAACAAUUAAAAGCUUUCUUUAAUUUAAUAAUUAAAUUUAAUUUUUUUGUGAAGAAGCAAAAAUAAGAAUUAGGGACAAGAAGACCCUAUGAAUUUUAAUUUAUUUAUUAUAUAAAAUAUGUUAAAUAAAUUUAGUUGGGGCGAUUGGAAAAGAAUAAGUAUCUUUUUUUAAAAAUUUUUAAAAAUUGGUUCCGUUUUUAGCGAUUAAAUGAAAAAAAUACUCUAGGGAUAACAGCGUAAUAAUUUUGGAUAGUUCAUAUUGAUAAAAUAGUUUGCGACCUCGAUGUUGGAUUAGGAUUCUUUUUUGGUGAAGAAAUUAUAAAAAGAAGUUUGUUCAACUUUUAAUUUCCUACAUGAUCUGAGUUCAAACCGGAGAAUCU
rnacentral:rRNA from 1 species